UCCCUUCAUGCUUUUGCUUCUCUGAAGAUGGGGAUUCAUGCUAUCUUGCCUUCUCUUGUGAUAAGCAAUAUGUAUGAUCCUCCAGCUCACAAAAUGAGGUUUCACCAACUCUCUCGCCUGA